GACUGCAUGUGCAGCAUAUGGAAGUUCCCUCAAACACCAGAUCCUUUAACCCACUGCACCAAGCAAGGCCAGGUAAUGGACCCAUACCUCCACAAUGAUGCAAGUUGCUGCAGUGGGAUUCUUAAUCCAGACGAGAUUUUUGAAAAGAAUGCAGCUAAAUGUUAUUUCUCAAAAGUAACAGAAAGCCAUAAAAGUUAGAAGUAAAAGAUGAUGAAAGUUAUAGGAGACAAAUAAUAACGAAAAGAAAGCUGGUGUGUACAUAUAUUAAUAUUAUGUAAAAUAGACUUUUGGCAAAAGGAAUAAAGGAAGUCAAGAAUAGAUGACAAAAGGAAAAAAAUUACCAGGAAGACAUAACAAUUAUAAAUUGUCCCAGUAAUACAGCCUCCAGAUAAAGCAAAAAUUUACAGAAUAGCAAGAAUUUGAUCAAUUCACAAUCACAGGUGGAGAUUUAAACACUCAUAUUUCCAUAAUUAUCAAGCAGUCUAAAAAUUUAGAAAGGUCAUUUAUGAUUUGCAUGGCAUCAUUAAUAACUUGAUUUAGUAAAUAUGUAAAGAAUUUUGCCCCAACAAUUAAGGAACAUGCUUCCCUUCCUAGCUCACAUGGAAUAUUUAUACAAAUUUACCAUGUAUUAAGCCACAAAACAAAUACCAAAAAAUCAAUAUCUAACUGACCAUGUUCUCUGAUCAUAAUCAAAUAACAUUAAAAAUUAAUAACAGGGAGUUCCCAUUGUGGUUCAGUGGAAACAAUCCGACUAGCAAACAUGGGGAUGCAGGUUCAAUCCAUGGCCUUGCUCAGUGGGUUAAGGAUCCCGUGUUGCCGUGAGCUGUGCUGUAGGUCACAGACUCGGCUUGGAUCCAGCAUUGCUGUGGCUGUGGUGCAGGCCAGCAGCUGUAGCUCCAAUUCAACCCCUAGCCUGGGAUUUUCCAUACCACAGGUGCACCCCUAAAAAGCAAAGUAAUAAUAAUAAUAACAAUAAUGAUAACAGAAAAGUUCCCUGGGAUUUUUAAAUUUAAAAAAGCACACUUUUUGGUAACCUAUGAGUUAUAAAAGAAAUCGCAAUGGAAUCAGAAUGUGUUUAGAAGUGAAUGAUAGGAGUUCCCAUCAUGGCACAGUGAUUAACGAAUCCAACUAGGAACCAUGAGGUUUCGGGUUCGAUCCCUGCCCUUGCUCAGUGGGUUAAGGACCCGGCGUUGCCGUGAGCUGUGGUGUAGUUUGCAGAUGAGGCUCGGAUCCUGCGUUGCUGUGGCUCUGGCGUAGGCCAGCGGCUAUAGCUCCAAUUCAACCCAAGCCUGGGAACCUCUAUAUGCCAUGGGUGCGGCCCUAAAAGAGGCAAAAAGACAAAAAAAUAAAAAUAAAUAAAUAAAUAAAAAGUGAAUGAUAAUUUUUUUUUUUUUUUUUUUUUAAAGGGCUGCACCCACAGCAUAUGGAGGUUUCCAGGCAAGGGGUCAAACUGGAGCUACAGCUUCUGGCCUACUCCACAGCCACAGCAGUGUGGAAUCUGAGCCACGUCUGCAAUCUACACCACAGCUCACGGCAACACUGGAUCCUUAACCCACUGAGCGAGGCCAGGGAUCAAACUCAUGUCCUCAUGGUUCCUAGUUGGUUUUGUUUCCACUGCACCACAACGGGGACUCCAUGAAGUCAUAAUUAAAAGAAAAAAAAGGAGCUCCCAUCGUGACGCAUCGGAAACGAAUCCGACUAGGAACCAUGAGGUUGCCGGUUUGAUCCCUGGCCUUGCUCAGUGGGUUAACAAUCCGGCAUUGCCAUGAGCUGUGGUGUAGGUUGCAGACAUGGCUCGGAUCCUGCGUUGCUGUGGCUCUGGUAGGCCUACAGCAACAGCUUUGCUUAGACCCCCCUAGCCUGGGAACCUCCAUAUGCGGGGGGGGGGAGGGGGGGGUGUAAAAAGGAUAAAAGAAAAAAAAAAAGGAAAAAAAACUUGUAGAAUAAAGAAAAAUAUCUCUAAGUAAAACUAAGAAGUCAUAAAAAAAUAACCUAAUAAGAAAAGGAACAUAUGUACAGAUAAAUAAGAGAUUUAUGCCGAAAUUUGGAAACAUAAAUAAAAUGGAAUUUUUAUUUUGCAAAUAAAAAUCUAUCAAAGCUAAUGUAAGAAGAAAUAGAAAACUAAGAUCUUAACAUUAAAAAACCUGCUGUAUAGCACUGGGAACUAUAUCUAGUCACUUAUGAUGGAACAUGACAAUGUGAGAAAAAAAAAAUGUAUAUAUGUAUGUGUGACUGGGUCACCUUGCCAUACAGCGGAAAAUUGACAGAACACUGUAAACAGGCUAUAAUGGAAAAAAAUUAAAAAUCAUUUAAAAAAAAAGAAAAAAAAAAAAA
rnacentral:lncRNA from 1 species